AGGGAAUCUUCGGCAAUGGGGGCAACCCUGACCGAGCAACGCCGCGUGAGUGAAGAAGGUUUUCGGAUCGUAAAGCUCUGUUGUAAGUCAAGAACGGGUGUGAGAGUGGAAAGUUCACACUGUGACGGUAGCUUACCAGAAAGGGACGGCUAACUACGUGCCAGCAGCCGCGGUAAUACGUAGGUCCCGAGCGUUGUCCGGAUUUAUUGGGCGUAAAGCGAGCGCAGGCGGUUUGAUAAGUCUGAAGUUAAAGGCUGUGGCUCAACCAUAGUUCGCUUUGGAAACUGUCAAACUUGAGUGCAGAAGGGGAGAGUGGAAUUCCAUGUGUAGCGGUGAAAUGCGUAGAUAUAUGGAGGAACACCGGUGGCGAAAGCGGCUCUCUGGUCUGUAACUGACGCUGAGGCUCGAAAGCGUGGGGAGCGAACAGGAUUAGAUACCCUGGUAGUCCACGCCGUAAACGAUGAGUGCUAGGUGUUGGAUCCUUUCCGGGAUUCAGUGCCGAAGCUAACGCAUUAAGCACUCCGCCUGGGGGAGUACGACCGCAAGGUUGAAAC
rnacentral:rRNA from 1 species